AAUUAUCAUAUCUGAUUUCAUUAUUUAUAAAACAUAUAUUUUGUAGGGUGCUUUCUAUCUUUUCGUUGAUUUAAGCUCUUAUUAUGGAACUGAAGUAGAAGGAUUUGGCAUUAUCAACAACUCAGAAUCCCUUUGCAGAUUUCUUCUAGACAAGGCACAGGUUGCUCUUGUUCCAGGAGACGCAUUUGGUGAUGAUAAGUGCAUAAGGAUCUCUUAUGCAGCAUCACUUGCAACGCUACAGGAUGCAGUAAGUAAUAUAAAAGAGGCUUUGCUCUCCCUACGGCGCCCAAUACCUGUUUAAACGGUAGAUGCUCGCUCUAGCAUCCUGUUUUUUUUGUUAUUGUUGUAUUAUCUAUUUUUCCUUGCUAAUCAAUAAUGAAACAAACUACCCUUUUGUUUGAAAAAUUGUGAUAUUGAUUUCCAAUGUUAUUUAGCAUUAAAUAAAGUUAUUGUUAGUGUA